rnacentral:snoRNA from 1 species
AAGACUCUACUUUCAGCGAUCAUUUCUAUAGUUCAUUACCAGAGAAGUUUCUCUGAAUGUGUAGAGCACAAAAAGUAAAUAAGGCCAUGCCUAGACAUGUUA